rnacentral:misc_RNA from 1 species
UUGUACAACCGAGGUGCCAAGGCUGUCGCUGACCCUCAAAGGUCGUGCACGCCCGAGUGCCCUCACACAAUCCAUCUCACCUUUGUGCAUCGCCGCGUGGGUUUCUCCCCUUUGCGGGGGAGGGCCUGCGUUUUAUCAUAAAACUUGAUACAGUGUAGAAUGUUUAUCUUUGCGGUCACACGCAAUCAAUA